GCGGCAGGUAGGCUCGGGGGGCUCGCCAUCCCCUGUAACCCGAAACUGGCGACAUGCGGGGAGCUGAUAACCGUGGGGACAGGGUUGAUCCACGUAGCUGUUUACGGCAGGUCUGUGAAAGCCGUUCCUUACUGGGCGGGUGUGGCAGAACAUGCCCGCUGUAGGGCGGGUAAUGUCUGCCUAAUUACCGAACCCCGCUAGGCCCGGGAGGGAGCAGCGGUAAGGUAAGCUACCCGCGUUGGUAAGAGACGGCUGGAGGCUAAACCUGCCGUAUAUGGUUGCGUUGGAGAAACCCGAUCCCCAUGGGGCUGCCGC
rnacentral:SRP_RNA from 1 species